AUUGAACGCUGGCGGCAGGCCUAACACAUGCAAGUCGAACGGUAGCACAGAGAGCUUGCUCUCGGGUGACGAGUGGCGGACGGGUGAGUAAUGUCUGGGAAACUGCCUGAUGGAGGGGGAUAACUACUGGAAACGGUAGCUAAUACCGCAUAAUGUCGCAAGACCAAAGGGGGGGACCUUCGGGCCUCUUGCCAUCGGAUGUGCCCAGAUGGGAUUAGCUUGUUGGUGAGGUAAAGGCUCACCAAGGCGACGAUCCCUAGCUGGUCUGGGAGGAAGACCAGCCACACUGGAACGGAGACACGGUCCAGACUCCUACGGGAGGCAGCAGUGGGGAAUAUUGCACAAUGGGCGCAAGCAUGAUUCAGCCAUGCCGCGUGGGUGAAGAAGGCCUUCGGGUUGUAAAGCACUUUCAGCGGGGAGGAAGGCGGUGAGUUUAAUAAGCUCACCGAUUGACGUUACCCGCAGAAGAAGCACCGGCUAACUCCGUGCCAGCCGCCGCCGUAA
rnacentral:rRNA from 1 species